CUGCAUUUUGCCCAUAAUUAAAUAUCUGAAUUCCAAUAGCCAUUCUAUCCUGGGAUUGGAACAUACAUACGUACAUACAUACAUACAUAAAUACAUACAUACAUACAUACAUACAUAUGUAUGUAUAUAUACAUGAAGAAAACGAUCACCAACACUGACAAAAGCUCAUCAAUAAAUCAAUGGCAUAUGGACUGAUCACUGCUGCAGAUAUUCUGGGUUGAAUGCAAGUGCCUCCCGAUAUAUCAGCUCCUUCAUCUGCUCCUCGG
rnacentral:lncRNA from 1 species